CACGUAGGGAGCAAGCGUUGUCCGGAUUUAUUGGGCGUAAAGAGCUCGUAGGCGGUUCCGUAAGUCAGGUGUUGAAACCUCCAGGCUCAACCUGGAGACGCCACCUGAUACUGCGGUGACUGGAGUCCGGUAGGGGAGCGUGGAAUUCCUGGUGUAGCGGUGAAAUGCGCAGAUAUCAGGAGGAACACCAGCGGCGAAGGCGGCUCUCUGGGACGGUACUGACGCUGAGACGCGAAAGCGUGGGGAGCGAACAGG
rnacentral:rRNA from 1 species